CCAGGGAGGAUCCUCAGUCCCUGGCCCGGCGCCUUUUCCGCCUGGACGGGGUCAGGAAAUCCCAGGUGGCCUCGUACCUGCGCAAGGACACGGAGUUCAGCGCUCGGGUGGCGCGCGAGUACCUGGAGCUCUUCCAGUUCCAGGGCCUGAGCCUGGAGCAGGCCCUGAGGCAGUUCCUGCGGGCCCUGGUGCUGCCCUCGGGGAGAAACUCAGGAGCG